UUUUUUAAAAAAAUAUUUGGAUGUAGCAAAGCAAAGCGGAUAUCCGGCAAAUAUCACACAAAAAUCCGGAUAUUUGUAUUUCCGGAUAUUCGGAAAUUUUCGGAUCAAAGCAAAUAAUAAAAUUAAGUAUUCGAUUAAAACGAAUUGAAUAACAAAUAUCCCAAAUUUUCCGGAUAUUCGCUUCGUGCUCAGGCCUAACGUGUAUCCAUCCAUAUACAUAAAAAAAAUCUCUUCACAUGAUAUAUGCAGAUAAAUGGUUUU
rnacentral:sRNA from 1 species